UAAGGAAUAUUGCGCAAUGGGCGAAAGCCUGACGCAGCGACGCCGCGUGGGGGAUGAAGGUCUUCGGAUUGUAAACCCCUUUCGGGAGGGAAGAUGGAAUGGGGUAACCCAUUCGGACGGUACCUCCAGAAGCAGCCACGGCUAACUUCGUGCCAGCAGCCGCGGUAAUACGAAGGUGGCAAGCGUUAUUCGGAUUUACUGGGCGUACAGGGAGCGUAGGCGGUUCGGUAAGCCCUCUGUGAAAUCUUCAGGCUUAACCUGGAAAAGUCGGGGGGGACUGCCGGGCUAGAGGACGGGAGAGGAGCGCGGAAUUCCCGGUGUAGCGGUGAAAUGCGUAGAGAUCGGGAGGAAGGCCGGUGGCGAAGGCGGCGCUCUGGAACGUUUCUGACGCUGAGGCUCGAAAGCGUGGGGAGCAAACAGGAUUAGAUACCCUGGUAGUCCACGCCUUAAACGAUGUCAACUGGUUGUUGGGUCUCUUCUGACUCAGUAACGAAGCUAACGCGUGAAGUUGACCGCCUGGGGAGUACGGCCGCAAGGUUG
rnacentral:rRNA from 1 species